GACUAGGAAUACAAACUAGUUUUAUCAGGUAAAGCGAAUGAUUAGAGGCUUUGGGGAAGAAACUUCCUCGACCUAUUCUCAAACUUUAAAUAGGUAAGAUAUAUUGGUUACUUAAUUUUGAACCAAUAUACGAAUGUAUAGUCUUUAGUGGGCCAUUUUUGGUAAGCAGAACUGGCGAUGUGGGAUGAACCGAACGUUAAGUUAAAGUGCCAAAUCUAUUACGCUCAUGAGAUACCAUAAAAGGUGUUGGUUCAUAUAGACAGAUGGACCGUGGUCAUGGAAGUCGAAACCGGCUAAGGAGUGUGUAACAACUCACCAUCCGAAUGAACUAGCCCUGAAAAUGGAUGGCGCUUAAGCGUAAAACUUAUACUUAACCUAUAAAACAAGAAUUUGAUUAUGUUUUAUAGAGUAGGAGGGCGUAAAGUUUUUGUUAU
rnacentral:rRNA from 1 species